AUUGAACGCUGGCGGCACGCCUAACACAUGCAAGUCGAGCGGCAGCGAGACUAGUAGCAAUACUAGUUGUCGGCGAGCGGCGGACGGGUGAGUAACACGUAGGAAUCUGCCCUUAAGCGGGGGAUAACCAAGGGAAACUUUGGCUAAUACCGCAUAAUCUCGAGAGAGCAAAGCUGCCCGCAAGGGUGGCACUUGAGGAGGAGCCUGCGUCCGAUUAGCUAGUUGGUGGGGUAAUGGCCUACCAAGGCGAUGAUCGGUAACUGGUCUGGGAGGACGACCAGGCACACUGGGACUGAGACACGGCCCAGACUCCUACGGGAGGCAGCAGUGGGGAAUAUUGGACAAUGGGGGCAACCCUGAUCCAGCGAUGCCGCGUGAGUGAAGAAGGCCUUCGGGUCAUAAAGCUCUUUAGGUUGGGAAGAAGGGUAUUGGCUGAAUAAUCCAGUACUUUGACGGUGCCGACAGAAUAAGCACCGGCAAACUCUGUGCCAGCCGCCGCCGUAAAAC
rnacentral:rRNA from 1 species